GCCGGAGAGGGUGCGUUUAACUGAUUGGAUUAAUCUCUCCCAUGCACCACCGAAAUGUGGUGCUCCGGGGGGGUUGAAUAUCCACGUCGUAUCGGGGAGGUACAUUUCAUCUAUCAGCUCCUCGGUGUUUAUCUGCUUCGCCGCAUCUUUCAACUCACGAUCAGCGCCAACGAAAUUAGUCCCACGAUCAGUUCUGAUUUCAAUCGGAGUCCCUCUACGUGCGAUAAAAUUGCGAAUAGCGAUGAUGCAAGCGCUGGUGUUCAAGCUGUGAGCCACCUCUAUGUGUAUGGCCCGUAUUGUUAGACACGUGAACAGCACACCCCAGCGCUUUUCCUGUCUCCGUCCAACAGCGACCAAAAAAGGUCCGAAGUAAUCUAUCCCUGUGUAGGAGAACGGUCUGGCGUACGGCGACACUCGAGCUAACGGCAACUCAUUCAUCACUGGAGGUUUAGGUGGUACUCCGUUACAAUCAGAUCGGUGAGCCAGGAUUUUUUGGGAAGAAUAAUUGGCCUCUUCAUGUCAUGGCUUGCGUAACGACAAGCAUCGAUUCUUCCUCGUACUCAUCCCUUUGUACCUGAUUUGUCAUGCAGAAGCAGCU